ensembl:lncRNA
CCUGAAGCCAGGGAGCCAGUGCAAGAAAAGGUUGUCCCUCUAAAGGUGGCCGAACCAAAAGAUCAGCUUCCACCUAAAGAACCUGUCCCUAAACCUCCUCCUGCAUCACCAGUUGCACAACAAACUGUUACUCCUAAAGAAGAGGCACCUGAGCCUAAACCACAGGUGCUUUCUGAACCCAAAAAGGCACCUCAACCAAUAGUGGCUCCUGCCGAACCUGAAGCCAAACCCGAACCUAAACCAGCACCAGCAAAGAUUCUAGAGGCUCCUACUGCUAAAGUCACAAAGAUUCCUUCAGUGCCACAACAACCAAAGAGUGUUCCAGCUAGACCACAAGAGGCAGCACCUAGCUAUCCAGAAGUUGUCUCAGCAAAAGUACUCGAGGUUUCAAAGAGAGCAGAGGUGACUAUGAUUAAAGAAGAAACAAAACUUGUAAAAACCGAAGAGAAGACACAGGAGAUUGUUGUUCUACAUACAAUUGGUGAUGAAGAUGUUCCCAAGAGAAAUGAGAUUAAAAAAGGUACAAGGCCUCAGAAAUUGUGCUUAAAAACACUUAUUUUUUCCUGUGUACAUGUCUGAUCCUUGUUCAUGUUUUCCUGUCAAUU